rnacentral:rRNA from 1 species
UGUAAAGUUCAAGCUCCGAUAUGUGAGGGCGAAACCGCGAAUGGCUCAUUAAAUCAGUCAUAAUCUACUUGAUUGUUUAGCGUUAUAUGGAUAACUGUGGUAAUUCUAGAGCUAAUACAUGCGUGAGGAGGGCGACUUGUUAGCGCAAGAAGCUCCGCGUUUAUUAGACUAAGACCGGCGUUGGUUCUCGCAACCUUCCCAAUCUAAGGUGACUCUGAGUAAAUAACGGGUGCAAGCCCGUGCUGCCGACCUGGCUCACCAAACGCCCGCAAGGGCGGCCAGGCGAAUCAAUCGAGUGUCUGCUCUAUCAACUGUGGAUGGUAGGGUAAUUGCCUACCAUGGUGAUGACGGGUAACGGGGAGUUAGGGCUCGACUCCGGAGAACAAGCCUGAGAAACGGCUAGUAGGACUAAGGUCUGCAGCAGGCGCGAAACUUACACAAUGCUAGAUUUCACAUUAAAAUUAGCGAUGUAGUGAAGAAAAAUAACGAUGCACUUGCUUUUAAACAAGCUUGUGCAAUUGGAAUGAGACGACUUUAAAAGGGUCCGUCGAGUAACAAAUGGAGGGCAAGUCUGGUGCCAGCAGCCGCGGUAAUUCCAGCUCCAUUAGCAUACAUUAAAGUUGUUGCGGUUAAAAAGCUCGUAGUUGAAUGUCUGGCGGUCUCUGAGUCGGCGGGCGCGUUAAGGGUUCUACCUCUCUAAUGGGGUUUAACCUGCGCUCGCGCGGCUAGGGAGGCCGUUGUUUCGUCACUUAAUCGAGUGCGAAGCGAGUCGGUUGGAAGCGCUCGAGCGCAAGCUCGAGCCUCACUCCGACAAGUUUACCUUGAGAAAAUUAGAGUGCUCAGCGCAGGCAGUUUGGGUGUAAAAGCCCUCUUAUGCUUGAAUAAUGUUGCAUGGAAUAAUAGAAUACGGCCUCGGUUCUAUUCUGUUGGUCUUAUAGAACAACAAACAAGUUGGUGCGAGCGCCAAAGGUCUCUCUGGGCUGUGGCGAGCGCGCGCUCGUGUUGUCGGGGGCCUAAAAAUCUCCGUACCUCGGCGCCGCCCGCCUCAAAAGCAGCCCUCUGCAGCCUGCUCACACACCAACUGAGGCAAUGGUUAAAAGAAAUAGUCGCGGCGGCAUCAGUACUGCAUCGUGAGAGGUGAAAUUCUUAGACCGAUGCAAGACUAACUGAAGCGAAAGCGUUUGCCGAGGAUAUUUUCAUUAAUCAAGAACGAAAGUUAGAGGUUCGAAGGCGAUCAGAUACCGCCCUAGUUCUAACCAUAAACGUUGCCAACUAGCAAUUGGGUUGCGAUUCCUUUAAUUGGAGCCUAAAAAACUCCAAUCAUUAUGAUCCACCCAGCGGCUCUCGUAGGGAAACCAAAGUGUUUGGGUUCCGGGGGAAGUAUGAUUGCAAAGUUGAAACUUAAAGGAAUUGACGGAAGGGCACCACCAGGAGUGGAGCCUGCGGCUUAAUUUGACUCAACACGGGGAAACUUACUAGAUUAGAACUCUGGAAUGAUUGACAGAUUGAUAGCUCUUUCUUGAUUCAGAGGAUGGUGGUGCAUGGCCGUUCUUGAUUCGUAUUCCGAAACGUCUGCUUAAUUGCGAUAACGAGUGAGACCUCACCCAACUAACUAGUCGCUCUGUGCGCUGUGGGACGCUAAAGUCGGUCGUUGGGUAGCUGCGAGGGUUUCGGCCCCCGUAGUCCAGCUUCCGAUGUCCUCUGCUCGCAAGCGGACUUCUUAGAGGGAUAAACGGUGUUUUAGCCGUAAGAAACGAGGCAAUAACAGGUCUGUGAUGCCCUUAGAUAUUCUAGGCCGCACGCGUGCUACAAUGGCGUGUGCAGAAAGCUUGUUCGAGGUUCGUCCGGAGAGAACUAGGCGUUUGGCGGCYGGUUGGGGCAACUCAGCUAGUUGUCGGCGCACAAGUGACUCCGGCUCGCGAGCCGAGAGAAACCGCGGCCGAAAGGUCGUGGCAAUCAGAAAUACACGCCGUGAUUUGGGAUUGGGGAUUGCAAUUGUUGCCCAUGAACGAGGAAUUCCCAGUAAGCGCGAUUCAUCAUAUCGCGUUGAUUACGUCCCUGCCCUUUGUACACACCGCCCGUCGCUACUACCGAUUGGAAGUUUUAGUGAGGCAUCUGGACUUGCCGUCCACGGGAGGGGCAACCCUUCCAGGCACGGCGGGGAAGUUUGUCGAACUCAAAUUUCUAGAGGAAGUAAAAGUCGUAACAAGGUUUCCGU